rnacentral:lncRNA from 1 species
CGAGGAAGCGGCAAAAGGAGAGGAGGGUGAACUGCUCCAAUCUGAGGAUGAUUUGCUGUGAUAUUACUGCUACUGCUAUAGAUCUCUGUGUUGCUUGAAGCAACUUCAGGAGAAAGGAAGUAGAAAUCUACUGCCAAACUAGACGCCCGAACAACCUGGAUGAGAUAAAGUGCCUUUUAUUCAGAGCUGGUGGAAAGGAAGGCUGUUCUGCCCUGGACAUCUCAUGUAC